rnacentral:lncRNA from 1 species
CCCCGCCCAGACCCCAGAUCCGGCCAUUGCGCCGGGCUGAACGCCGUGCCUGGACUGGGCAUCGGCACAAAGGAGGACUCCGGCCAUGGAGCUGGGUUGGACACUGUGCCUGGACAUCGGCGCAGAAGAAGGCUCCGGCCUUGGAGCUGGACUGGAUGCCUUACCUGGAAGCUCUGGACCGUUGACUGUCGCCGGAGGUUCCGGACCGUUGACCGUCGCCGGAGGUUCUGGACCGUCGCCGGAGGUUUCGGACCGUCGCCAGAAGCUCCGGACCGGGAACCGUCGCUGGAAGCUCUGGACUGUGAAUGCGCACUGGAGGCCUAGUGCGUGGAACUGGCACAGGUGGCACCGGACUGGACUGGGGACACGCUCUUCAGGGCGAGUGCGAGGAGCAGGCACAAGACUUACCGGACUGGGGACACGCUCUUCAGGGCGAGUGCGAGGAGCAGGCACAGGACAUACCGGACUGGGGACACGCUCUUCAGGGCGAGUGCGAGGAGCAGGCACAGGACAUACCGGACUGGGGACACGCUCUUCAGGGCGAGUGCGAGGAGCAGGCACAGGACAUACCGGACUGGGGACACGCUCUUCAGGGCGAGUGCGAGGAGCAGGCACAGGACAUACCGGACUGGGGACACGCUCUUCAGGGCGAGUGCGAGGAGCAUCUCAUCUCUGUCUCUCCCAACCUCUCCAUUGCCUCCCUGACAGUCUCUGGCUCUUCCUGCGGCUCCAUGUGC